GAUGAACGCUGGCGGCGUGCCUAAUACAUGCAAGUCGAGCGAACAGACGAGGAGCUUGCUCCUCUGACGUUAGCGGCGGACGGGUGAGUAACACGUGGAUAACCUACCUAUAAGACUGGGAUAACUACGGGAAACCGGAGCUAAUACCGGAUAAUAUAUUGAACCGCAUGGUUCAAUAGUGAAAGACGGUUUUGCUGUCACUUAUAGAUGGAUCCGCGCCGCAUUAGCUAGUUGGUAAGGUAACGGCUUACCAAGGCAACGAUGCGUAGCCGACCUGUGAGGGUGAUCGGCCACACUGGAACUGAGACACGGUCCAGACUCCUACGGGAGGCAGCAGUAGGGAAUCUUCCGCAAUGGGCGAAAGCCUGACGGAGCAACGCCGCGUGAGUGAUGAAGGUCUUCGGAUCGUAAAACUCUGUUAUUAGGGAAGAACAAAUGUGUAAGUAACUAUGCACGUCUUGACGGUACCUAAUCAGAAAGCCACGGCUAACUACGUG
rnacentral:rRNA from 1 species